UUGCCAUUGCCAUUGCCAGCAGCAGCAGCAGCAGCAGCAGCAGCAACAGCAACAGCAGCAGCAACAGCAGCAGCAACAGCAGCAGCAGCA
rnacentral:miRNA from 1 species